GCCCGGGUGGUGAAAUCGGUAGACACAGGGGACUUAAAAUCCCCCGACCCUUAACGGUCGUGCCGGUUCAAGUCCGGCCCCGGGCA
rnacentral:tRNA from 1 species